AACGAACGCUGGCGGCAUGCCUAACACAUGCAAGUCGAACGAGAUCUUCGGGUCUAGUGGCGCACGGGUGCGUAACGCGUGGGAAUCUGCCCUUUGGUUCGGAAUAACAGUUGGAAACGACUGCUAAUACCGGAUGAUGACGAAAGUCCAAAGAUUUAUCGCCAGAGGAUGAGCCCGCGUAGGAUUAGCUAGUUGGUGUGGUAAAGGCGCACCAAGGCGACGAUCCUUAGCUGAUCUGAGAGGAGGAUCAGCCACACUGGGACUGAGACACGGCCCAGACUCCUACGGGAGGCAGCAGUGGGGAAUAUUGGACAAUGGGCGAAAGCCUGAUCCAGCAAUGCCGCGUGAAUGAUGAAGGCCUUAGGGUUGUAAAGCUCUUUUACCAGGGAUGAUAAUGACAGUACCGGAAGAAUAAGCUCCGGCUAACUCCGUGCCAGCAGCCGCCGUAA
rnacentral:rRNA from 1 species